GGGAGGUAGUGACAAUAAAUAACAAUACAGGGCUCUUAUGGGUCUUGUAAUUGGAAUGAGUACAAUUUAAAUCUCUUAACGAGGAACAAUUGGAGGGCAAGUCUGGUGCCAGCAGCCGCGGUAAUUCCAGCUCCAAUAGCGUAUAUUAAAGUUGUUGCAGUUAAAAAGCUCGUAGUUGAAUUUCGGGGUUAGUAAGUUGGUCAUGCCUUCGGUAUGUACUGGCUUUACUGAUUCCUCCUUCUUGACGAACCGUGACGUCAUUAAUUUGGUGUUGCGGGAAAUCAGGACUGUUACUUUGAAAAAUUAGAGUGUUUAAAGCAGGCUAACGCUUGAAUACAUUAGCAUGGAAUAAUGAAAUAGGACGUUUGAUCCUAUUUUGUUGGUUUCUAGGAUUGACGUAAUGAUUAAUAGGGAUAGUUGGG
rnacentral:rRNA from 1 species